AUGUUACUAAAAAUAUUAGAUGUUGUAGUAGUAUUAUUAAGAUUUGAAAUAGUAUUGUUUAGAGAAUUAAUGUUAUUAUUAACGUUAUUCAUUAAAUUCAUGUUGGUAUUGUUUACGUUUGUUGUACCGAAUAUAUUAGGAGUUGUAUUAUUGCCCAACAUAUUAUUAUUAUUAUUAUUAUUAUUAUUAAGCAUAUUAUUAUUAUUAAGCAUAUUAUUAUUAUUAAGCAUAUUAUUAUUAAACACAUUAUUAUUAACCAUGUUGUUAUUAACCAUAUUAUUAUUAGCCAUGUUAUUAUUAGCCAUGUUAUUAUUCACAUUUAAUGUUCUAUCUUGAGAUGUAGGAAGAUUUCCACCUAAAUUCAAAGAGUUAUAAUUUGGUAAUCCCAACAUAUUAGGUGAUUGUAUAUUCAGUUGUGUCAUGUAUAGCAUGUCCAUAUUUUGUUGUCCCAUGUCAAAACUGAACAUAUUAUUAUUGUUAUGAUUAAAAGUUUGAUUAAUGGCUAUUGUAAAAUUAUUGACAUAUGUGUAACUUCUUCAGGUAUAUGUUGAAUCAAAUGAAAAGUAUUAAUCAAAUAAUCAGAAAUAUUUAAUUUAUUAUUAUUAUUAUUAUUAUAUUUUUUAAUACUAUCGGUUGUUUUAAAACAACUAGAAGAUGCAUUUUUUAACGCAAUUAAGUAUAAAUUAUGUUCAUUCCAAAAAGACAUCCCAUUAUUAGGAAACCCAUCAUUAUACAUCCCAUUAUUAUACAUUCCAUUAUUAUGUAUUCCAUUAUUAUAUAUUCCAUUAUUAGGCAUNNNNNNNNNNAUUCCAUUAUUAUACAUUCCAUUAUUAUACAUAUUAUUAUUAUUAUACAUAUUAUUAGACUGAUAUGGCAUCAUUGAUCCGUAGUUCCCUAUAUCUUGUCCAUACGACCCAUCCUGACCAUAAGAUCCAUACGACUGAUACCGAUGAUCAUCUGAUAAGUUUAUUCUUGAAUAAGAAGAAUGUAAAUCAUAAGAUAUAUCUAACUUUGAAAAAUAUUUUUCUCUCUCAUAUAAUUUGACUAUUUUUUCAAUGAACAGUAAAGCAUAAAAACCAGCCGUACAACAAUGCUGAAUAAAAUUUCGUUGGUUUUGUUCA
rnacentral:lncRNA from 1 species